CAUGACAUUGGUUUUCUAAUAUAAAGAUAUGAGUUUAUUUAUACUAAAAAUUAUUUUUAAAUUUUUCUAUUGUUGUAGUGAGGUCUUCUGUGGUAGUAUAGUGA
rnacentral:tRNA from 1 species